rnacentral:misc_RNA from 1 species
UGUGAAAAAAAUAUUUACACUUAAAGUAAAUUUUACUUGAAAGUAGCCAAUUAAAUGGUGAUGUGAGAGUGAUAUUGGAAAAAAAGCAAUUACUUAAAUAUAUAUACACAUACAUAUGCACAUAUGUACAUAUAUACAAUUAUAACGUAAUUAAGCAAUUUUAUAGUAAUUUUGAGGAAAUCGACAGUGAAAUCGUUUUAGAAUUAUCGAAAAAAUAAUACAAAUAAAUUUUGUUGUAUAAAAUUUGUUGGCUCCUUUGAUUACAGUGAUUACAUAAAUUUCAGCUGUUCAGCGUUUUCCUACAUUUUCGUUCGACUUCAAGUGACGCAGUAACGUUUAAACUAUCCUGGACUACACCAGGCAGCAGUCAGCAGUCUGUAGUCGCUCGGUCGGUCGGUCGGUCGGUCGGUGCUGGCGUUCUUAUCGGUGACAUCGCUUUAAUCGUAUUGUAACUGUUUCCACCUCAAAAAUUAUCUACAAGCUUUUGUGCGUAUAUACAUAUGUAUAUGUGUGUGAAAUAAUUGGCUCUAUACGUGCAAGUGUUUAAUUAAAAUAUUAUACCUACCUAUGUAUGUGUAUAUAUGUGUGUGUGUUAUUAACACUAGCGAUGUUGCUAAAAUAAGCCACUAAUCUCAGCCCCUCCAAACAUUUUGAGUUUGAAAGAGAAAAAACAAAAAAACAAAGCAAUGCUAUUGAUUUAGUUGUAUCAAAUAUAUUAUGUACUGGAAUUUAGUGUAAAAGUGGAGGAAUUUCCAAGAAGAGAAAAGAAAUAAACUCACAAAAAAAUAAAGAUAGAAAUUUGCGUCAAUUAUUCUUACAAAAAUAAUUGUUUGUGUAUAUCAUACUAAGCAUUGUCAUAAAUUAAGAAUUUGAAACACCUAUAUAUGUAUUGGCUUGAACAUAUAUUUGUAAAAAUAGAGCUAAACCAAAAGCACUUACUCAUUUUUAAUACCUAAACAGGCGAAAACUCAAGUAUACACAAUGUUCGUUGCCGAGCGUUAUCUUUCAAUAUGCAAAGUGUUUUAAAUUAAUUAUAUAACAUGUCAACAAACACAUACAUACAUAUGUCUACACGCAUCUGACAACUCGUCAACAUGCUAUACAUGCUCGUACAUACAUAGUACAUACAUCUGGUCAAUACAUAAUACCUCAAAAGGCAAAUAUUUGAAGUAAAACUUUAGCUUACAUACAACAGAACAUAUAUAAUGACAUACAAGCAUUUUCAAUAACUAAUACUAGUGCAAAUUAUAAUGAAAUUUUAAAAAUUUACAUUAGUCUCAAUAAUUAAUAGAGCUGCUAUGACAACUACUCACAUGCAAACUUAGUUAUAAAUUAGUAAAUUUAGUGUAUAAAAUUUA